rnacentral:rRNA from 1 species
AAACCCUAAGGCGCAAUGAAAGUGAAGGUCAGGCAUCGCACUGACUGAGGCAGGAUCCGUCCGGGUGAGCGAAGCUCUUCUUCCCUUCGCGGGUUCGUCCCGCGGGGGAGCUCGGCGGCGCACUGCCAGCCCAUCUCGGCCGCUUCCCGUCGGCGAGGUGGAGCCAGAGCGCACACGUUGGGACCCGAAAGAUGGUGAACUAUGCUCGGGCAGGACGAAGCCAGAGGAAACUCUGGUGGAGGUCCGUAGCGAUUCUGACGUGCAAAUCGAUCGUCGGACCCGAGUAUAGGGGCGAAAGACUAAUCGAACCGUCUAGUAGCUG